UUAUUGGAGAGUUUGAUCCUGGCUCAGGACGAACGCUGGCGGCGUGCCUAAUACAUGCAAGUCGAGCGGGCCUGU
rnacentral:rRNA from 1 species